rnacentral:misc_RNA from 1 species
UACAGAGGGUGCAAGCGUUAAUCGGAAUUACUGGGCGUAAAGGGCGCGUAGGCGGUUGAUUAAGUUAGGUGUGAAAUCCCCGGGCUUAACCUGGGACGUGCAUUUAAUACUGGUUAGCUAGAGUAGAGUAGAGGGAAGUGGAAUUUCCGGUGUAGCGGUGAAAUGCGUAGAUAUCGGAAAGAACACUCGUGGCGAAGGCGACUUCCUGGACUCAUACUGACGCUGAGGCGCGAAAGCGUGGGGAGCAAACAGG